UUUUUUUUCUUGGUCCCAUCUCGAUAUGAUAGGGAUCCCACCGGAAUCACUACUCACAAACUGAUCUUGGACCCGAAGUUUCGCUUGGUGAAACAAAAGAGGAGACCCCAGCCUCAGAUCAAACAUUCCUUCAUCAAGGACGAGGUGACUAAACUCUUUAAAAUAGGGUCUAUCGGGGAGGUCAAAUACCUGUAAUGGUUAGCGAACAUAGUUGUGGUUCCUACGAAUUGGAAUAAACUGAGAAUGUGUGUAGAUUAUGAAGACCUAAAUAAAGCAUGCCCCAAAGAUUCUUUCCCUUUGCCUAACAUUGGCCGCAUGAUCAAUGUCAGGGCCGGCUACGAGACUGUAAGUUUUCUCGAUGCCUACUCCAUGUACAACUAAAUAUGGAUGAACCCAGGUGACAAAGAAAAACCUCUUUUAUCACUAAGUAUGGCACGUACUUCUAAAACAUAAUGUCAUUAGAAUUAAAAAUAUUGAUUCUACUUAUGAAUGACUAUUAAACCAAUGUUCGAAGAUCAAAUAGGUAAAACAUUGAAGUUUAUAUUGACGAUAUGAUAGUUAAGUCCUUGCAAGCAAAGGACCAUUUAAAGCAUUUGCAGGAAACCUUCAGUAUACUAAAGAAGUACAACAUUAAGUUGAAUCCAGAAAAAUAUGCAUUCAGGGUCGGGUCCGGCUAGUUUCUCAAAUUCAUUAUGUCCAAUCGGGGAAUAGGGAUCAACCCCGAUAAUAUCGAAUCUAUCGAGGAUAUCAUGGUAGUGGAUAAUUUGAAGGGAUUACAAAGGCUAACUGGGUGCAUUGUAGCCCUGGGUCGAUUAAUCUUGAGGUCGUCCAGUAGAAGUCAUCGAUUCUUUUCGUUACUGAAAAAGAAGAACAACUUCACAUGGGCCCCAGAAUGUCAACGAGCUUUAGAGGAACUUAAGUUAUACUUACCAAGACCGCCAUUGCUUCACUCAUGGAGGGAGGACAAAUGAUUGUACUUGUACCUAGCAUUAUCGGAAGUAGCAGUAAGUGGUCCUAGUCCGAGAAGAAUAAAGUAUGCAAUUUCUGAUUUAUUAUGCCAGUAGGACAUUAGGUAAGGUCGAAACCCACACCUAAAACAAAUUAUCACUCGCCUUGCUAAGUGCCUCUAGGAAACUGAAACCAUAUUUUUAGUGACAUCCUAUAUGUGUUGUGACAACCUAUCCUUUACAAAAUAUAAUGCAUAAACCCGAAUUCUAAGGAUGAUUGGCCAAAUGGGCCAUCAAAAUUAGUGUGUACAAUAUCUAAUAUCAACCCGAAAGUCCAUUGAAUCCCAAAUUUUGGCAGACUUCAUACCCGACUUUACACCGGCCCUGAUACCCAGAGUCGGAAGGGAAUGUUAGUAAACUUGGGAACAUCUUCCGAGAAUUUGGACCCUCUUUAUGGAUUGUGCCUUGAACGUAAAAGGGUGCAUACUUGGCCUCAUACUAUAUCCUCCUACAAGCAAUAUAGUUAGACAAUAUAUUAGAACUAUAAAAUUGGCUAAUAAUGCAACCGAGUAUGAGGCCAUGAUUACUGGUCUCGAACUAGCCAAAGGUUUGGGAUUUUAAGUGAUCGAGGCUAAAUAUGACUCCUCCUGGUGGGAAACCAAUUAAAUGGAACAUUCAAGAUCAUGGAUAAAUGAAUGCAAAGGUACUUGGACAAGCUAAAAGUAAGUUGCAUCAUUUUAAUGAAUGGACUUUGCACCACCUGCCCUGAGAUCAAACAGUGGAGUCGAUGCCCUCGCAAACUUAGGGUCAUCAGUCGAAGACAACGAGCUCAACUCUGGGGCGUUCAUACAGCUUUUGAGGCCAGUAGUGGAAGAAGUUCAUGCCAAAAUAAAAUCUACAAGCUUGACUUGGGAUUGGAGAAAAAAUACAUAAAAUAUGUGAAGACCGCAAAACAUCCCUAAGAUCCAAAGAAAUCGAGGGCCAUGCGCAUAAAGGCAGCCUGAUUUAGCUUGUCCGAUGAUGGAACCUUACUGAGGAAGAUAUUCGACGGUCUGCUAGCAAUAUGUCUUGGACCGGGAGAUACUGAGUAUGUUUUGAGGGAAGUCCAUGAAGGCACAUGCACGGACCACUCAGACACUAAAUAGUUAGUUCAAAAGGUAAUUAGAGAUGGUAUUACUGGGUCGAUAUGAAAAAGAUGAAUAGGUGUUUGUGAAAAAAUGUGAUAAAUAUCAAAGACAUGCUCCUAGUAUUCAUCGAACUGAGGAGCUAUUGUAUUCGGUUUUAUCGGCAUGGUCGUUGAUGAAAUGGGAUAUGGACAUUGUUGGCCCUCUUCCAUUAGCAUCAGGUAAGGCUCAAUUUGUUUUGUUUAUGACUGACUAUUUCUCUAAGUGGGUUAAAGCACAGGCAUACUAGAAGAUCAGGGAGAAGGAAGUCAUCGACUUUAUUUGGGAUCACAUCAUAUGUUGAUUGGGAUACUAUCUGAAAUUGCGUUAGACAACGAAAAAUAGUUUAUCGGCAACAAAGUGACAAAAUUUCUCGAAGACCAUAAAAUCAAAAGAAUCUUAUCAACAAUGUAUCACCCUAGUGGAAACAGAAAAGCCGAAUCGACCAACAAAACCAUAAUCCUAAACCCCAAGAAACAGUUGACGGACGCUAAGGGGAAAUGGAGAGAGAUCCUGCCUAAAGUACUUUGGGUAUAUCGUACAACUUUAAAGUCCAGACCGGGGUUACCCCAUUCUCAUUGGUUUAUGGAACCGAGGACUUAAUACCGAUCUAAGUUAGGGAGUCAAGUAUCAGAUUCCCAUAUUCAAUGAAGGAAUCAAAUAAUGAAGCCACGAAUACGAGCCUGGAACUAUUAGAUGAACAGUGUGAAGCUGCCCUUGUUCGAUUGGCUGCUAAAAAGCAAUGGAUCGAAAGAUAUUACAAUCGCAGGACCAACUUUUGAUAUCUUAAUGUCGGGGACUUAGUACUGAGGAAGGUCAUACUAAACACCCAAAAUCCAAAUGAAGGAAAAUUGGGCCCAAACUGGGAGGGGCCAUACCAGAUUCUCGAAAUCACAGGGGAAAAGUCCUAUAAGCUCAAAAUUAUGGAUGGACAACAAUUACCAAACAAGUGGAAUGUAUCUCAUCUUAAACAAUAUUACUAAUAAGGUAAUACCCCUUUUCAAUUCUUUCUAUUCUUUACUAACACUUUUAGGUUAUCUACAAGGAGUGACAUGAAGACUUUAGGUCUGAUAGUACGUGUUGAAUUGUUUUUCCCUUGAACCAUUUUGUCCAAUUGGGUUUUUCGGUAAGGUUUUUAACAAGGCGACAGUGGAUCGUGCUAACUUAGAAACGAAGGCCAAUCAAAAAUUGGUGUCAAAUACAGCACUAAUAGUAUCUGAGGUUCCUCUACAAGCAACCUCGAAUACUAGGGGCAUUUCCCUGGUAUGUCAACUUUUUGCGAGGAAAUUACUUUAUAAUAGCGAGGUCUUGAUAGGUUAAAUUUGUUGUAAGGUCCAAACGGUCAAACAAAAUGUGCCCACAUAGGUUGCUCAGGCCCUGGCACAAAACAUGUACGCAUGUGUAAUCAUUUUCAAGAAUAAAGAGAAGCAUUUAUCUUUGCAAUUAUCUUUUGUCUUAGAAAGGUUUUUCUACUUUGCAAUUUUGUACUUUCGAUCUACUAUGGAAAUGAGCUCAAGGGCCGUUAUAACAAGAGUUUGGAUAAUAACUCCCAUACUCGGGGACUACCAUCCAAAAAAUAAACUCAAACAAAUUGAACAAUGGAGCGUCGAAGGCAUAAGACCUCUUAAGAAACCCUCGAAUUUUAAAGGUUGGGCCCAUACCCACUCGAGAACUGUUAUCUUAGGCAAUCCUGGAUAACUCAAAACAGCAAGCUUACUAGGCUACACCCAAAUUAAAAGGCUACUGCCAAUUUAACACAGUUUAGAGACGUUCAAAAUCCGUAACAAAAAUAGGCCUUCGAACUGGUUUAAAGGCUACCCUUGGAAGAAUCUUAAGCUUAAGAUAUUUUUGGGAGAAAAGUUCGAUGAUAUCGAACCAUGAUAACUCCUUAACCUAUAAAGGAAAUAAAGGCAAGGUUUGUUCGAACCCUUGAAUACAACCUUAUUAUUUUACUCUAGGGAAUUCCAACCUUUGUGAAUACGAAUGAUAAAGCAAAGGAAAAAAAAUUAAAAGCUGAAAGGGAAAGAAAAUCCUUAUUUAUACAUAAUAGUUUUUACGACCAAAUCGUCCUAAUACAAAAAUAUACAACGGUCGAAAUGACCUCAAAAUAAUGCAAAAGAAAAACAAAAAACUUAAAGGCCAAAGCGGCUUGGUCUUUAUCUGAGGCAGUAUCUCCUUCCUUGAGAUCUUCCCCGCCUUCAGACUAACUUAAUCUAUCUGAGUCUUCCUCAGGAAAGGCUAACUUUCGAGCCCUGGCUUCCUCUACUUUGGCGUUCUCGAAUGCAGCUUGUAUAUCGAAGCCCUUAACAUGGACUUCUUCGAGGGCUUCCCUCCGAGCUUUCCACUUUGCAUGGUCCACCAUGUUUUUGGCAUAUUCCUGGAUGACCCCAAUAUCUAUCUUAUACUGGGUCACAGUAGCAUUGUCUUUAGUGUUGGCAGCGGCAACCUCUGAUUUGGCUACCUCGAGCUCAUUAGCCAAGUUAGCGAAAUGGGACUGAAGAUCCUCGAUUUCUUUCACUUGCACUGAGGUUCUCUCUCUCUCUCUUGUAAUCCAGAGCUGGGACUCUGUCAACUCCAACUCUGCUUGGACAACCUCGUUUUUUGAGGCUAAGAUGUCCAUAUUCUUCUUGAACUCUUCAGCCUCGGCUCGAAUUGCAUCUAUUUGUUUUUGAAGAUCCUUGAUCUAUUUAAGCCUCUAAAGAACUUGCAGAAUCGGAUCAUUAGUUGUUAUCUCCAAUUUGUCUUCACUAUCAUGAAUCACUCAGAAUACAUGUUCAGCCAUCUCUAUAUGAUCAUCCCGAGACGUCACUAAAUCCACAUGAAGCUUCUCACUGAGAAGCUUGUAGGUAUCAUUUUUCUCAUUGAGGUCCCCAACCUCAGCCUCAUGCUCCUCCCAGAUUCGAAGGAAGGCUUCAUGAUGCAACAACUAAGCCUACAAGCAAGGAAGACGAUGUUAGAAAUGCCAAGAAUUCUAAUUUUACAAAAAUAGAUAAUACGGUGCGAAGUUACCUGAUUCAGAGCAUGUUGAGUCUUAUUUAACAGGAAAGAAUCCCCUAUCUCAUUUAUCACAGCUUGGUCCUCCUCGGUCACUAAGCAUCUAAGACAGCUAGCAAUCCCUACUAGAGGAGAGAAGACCCAGGCAUCCUCCGGUACAGAAAACACCAUAUUACUCCUAAGGUCGGGGUUAAUACUUGGGGUUGUGAAUCGAUUCACUAGUUUUAGGGUCAAUGAAGACCCAGUAACACCCGAUGAUAGUGUUUUCUUCGGCACCGGUAAGUCACCAAACACGAUGACAUCUCCAAAGAACCCAGCGUAACUCUAUCCAAGAAGUCAUGGAUAUCAACAGCCUCUUAAGGGCCUUCAAAAGGGCGACCUUCCAACAUAUUAGCCUCACAAAGUCUGGUAUCCAAAAUUUGAAGGGACCCAAAAAUAUUGAUCACAUCGAGCUCAUCCCUCAAAACAUCCUCCGCCACUUGGGAUUCUUUCCCCCGGUUUCUCCCUGGACCACCACGGCUUGCGAUGGAGUGACCUCAAUUUUUUCUAGUCGAGGAACUUUGGUCGAGGCUCCCUCAUCAACCCCUCCGUUCAGGGACUUUCUAUCUAAACAACAGCUCGCACAUAGGCUAUCAAAUUUGAUUCCUCUUAUUCAUCUUCAUACUCUUCUCUUAGAUGAUGGACUAAGUCCAAAAAUAGAGUGAUGGUGCUUCUCAUAGGUUUACUGGUUUGCCUUUUCUUUGGCUUUUGCUUUUCCGAGUUCGGGGACCCCGGAGCCCCUUUUAUCUUCUUCUCUUUUUCCUGCUUCGGAGUAGGUAGUUGGGAAUGGAUUUCUUCUUCAGUUGGGACCUCAUUUCCACAUUCUUACCGAGGCCUACAAAGGAAAAAAGACGAAUAAGCCCAAGAAAGUGGCCUGAAUGAUAAUCAUUCAAAGGAAGAAGCUUACCAUGAUUGCGGGCCUCCCAUUAACCCUUUGACAAUUCCAUCUAAGUACAAACAGAGUAAGGUCUUUAUGAUACUAGGCUUUCUACUAGGAGUGGCAAAAGGGUGGAUCGGGUCGGAUAUGGUUCGUGUCAAAAACGGGUAAUGAAAAAAUUGAUCAAUUAUCCGACCCGACUCAUAUUUAAUACGGAUAAAAAACAUGUUAAACAGGGUGGAUAAAUAAAGGUUACCCAUAUUAUCUAUUAAUUCUUGUAUAUGAUCACUUUUGGAAGAAUUCUUAGUCUCCCUAACUUGAGAAACCCCGAACUUGUGGCUUUACAAAUGUAAAAGUUAGACCCAUUGGUUAUCCAUUGAUUAUUCAUUGGUUAUCCAUUUUCUAAAUGGAUAAUAUGGUUCUUAUCCAUAUUUGAUCCAUUUUUAAAAAGUUCAUUAUCUAACCUAUUUUUGAGUAGAUAAUAUGGGUGGUUAACUGUUUUCUUUGAACCAUUUUGCCACCCCUACUCUCAACCCAUUGCUUGAGAUCAGGGAUUACCUCUGGCACCUGGGUUAUAGCUACAACAUCAAAAAAAUACAAAAAAGGAAAGAAGAUAAGAGGUAAAAUAAUAAAAUUAGACAGAUAAAAUGCUACUCACGGUUCAUGUUCCAUUUCUCUGAAAAUGACAUGUCUUCAGUAAGGAUAAGGUCUGAAGUCCUUAUUCGGACAAACUGACCCAUCCAACCUCGAUUGUGAGACUCAUCUAUGCUCAAGAAUGGGGCCCUGACGUCCCGGAGAGCGAGCUUGAUCAACCCUCCUUGAUAAAGUAGGGGACUGUAAAGGCGCAUGAGGUGAUCGUGGGUGAAAGGACAUCCCUCGAUUUUGCUUGUGAAGAAAUGAAAGAGAAUGACUAUUCUCUAGAAUGAAGGAUAGAUUUAGCUGAGGGUGACAUUGUACCUCUUGCAAAAGGCAACGAUGAUGGGUUCUAAGGGACCUAUAGUGAAGGGGUAUUUGUAAACGCUUAGAUACCCCUCCAUGAGAGUACUGAUUGAUUCCUCGAUAGAAGGAACUACUACAUCCUUGUUCACCUAAUUAUACUCCUCUUUAACUCUUUUGAGAGUAUCUUCAGUCAUAGUGCAUAUGUACCUCGAGACCGGUUCACAACGACCAGGUACUGAGGAUGUAUUUUCAAUCCUAAAAUCGACGACACUAGGGCACCCUCUCGGAACAAAAUUCUCAAGGAAUGGUUUUGAUGUAGCUCCAUCACCUUCGGGCCAUGAAGAAGAGGCAGUCUCUUUUUACGGCACCAUUUUAGUUGUUUUUGCCAUUGUAAAAUAGAAGGGAAGAAAACCAGAAUGAUUUGCUUGAGACUCAAGGAAUUUGAGAGCAAGAGUUGCAGAGCAAAGAGGUUUUUUUGAAGAGAAGCAGCAAUGAAGGAAAUUUUGAGCGCAAAAGAUUAAGGAUGUAAGGCCCUCCGAAAACUUAUACUCAAAACCUAGUAGCCCGUAGUGCCAAGUCACUAAUAUGUGUUAGGAAUGUGUAAAAUGCUCGCCGCGGUUCGGACCUUGUACUGAUCCAAGCAUUUAAAAAUCAAGAAUUAAAGUUUUCCAGAAAAGUGCUAUUAUGCGGUCCAGAAUGUGGUUGCAAAUCAAGUAUGUGGACCGCAUUUCUAUCGCAAAGUGAGUCAGUAGGUUAGUUAAAAUUGAGGUCAAACUGCGGUCCAUUAUGCGAUCGCAUAACUGAUAUGCGAACUGCAUUGUUAUCACAUAGUUAUCUUGGGAUUUUGUAAAGGGCAGUUCUGCGGUGCAUUAUGCGACUGCAUAAUAGGUAUGCGGACCGCAUUUCUACCACAGACCUAAACAGAAUGUUGAGAUUUUUGGAUCACUUUUGCGGUCCAUUCCGCGGGCCGCAUUUCCACUUUGCGAUCGCAUACCUGACUCGAGGUUCCAAUUUUUCAAUUUUUAAACCCGAACCCCUAUCUUUAUAUUCGGUGCUAUGGCUCAUUUUGAGCAUAUUAUGUGAUGCUUUGAGAGAGAGAGAGAGAGAGAGAGAGAGAGAGAGAGAGAGAGAGAGAGGGUAUUAGAGGGGCAAAGUGUAUCCUAUCAACAAGUGUCCAUAAAAUCUUGCUUAAACAUUGGAAAAAAUCAAGUGAAGACACCAAAAUUUUCAUUCCCAAAAGGUAAGAUUCAUCGCCUCAGCUCCUAUUUCUAUACUUAGCUAUAAAGGGGUCAGUAGUGAAGUAACUUAUGAGUACAAGAAUGAAGUUCUUGCAUGCAUGUCACACUAUAGGAUAUUGGAAGGUAAAAACCUAAAAGGAAGGCAAUUGGGGGCAUAAAAUGAUAGAAAUUCCUCACAAAAAGGGCCUAAGAGCAUAUUGCACUUUUAGUGUUCUACAAUAUGUUCGAACCAAUCUAGAAUUUCAAUCUCGUCUCUAAUUCUUGAUUCAAUUUGUAAUUCUUACAAAAUAGAUCAAAGUGCUAAGAGUUCCAAAAUUUUGUAAAGAGUAAAGAAAGCUAUAUUGAGUUAUGUAAGCCUUUAACCCCCUUCUAUUAUAAAUUGAGCUCCAUUGGUGUUUACACAAUGUGGUAAGUCUAGAACUUGUUGAUGUAUCGAUUGUUGUUUCACAUGAACUGGUUUGUAAUUAUGUCUAUAUGAAAGAUGUGCUUCAACGUGUUUAAUAAACUAUCCUUGUCAUUCAAAGCUUCGUGAAAGAUUCAAAUUAUGUGUUGACAUGCCUGGGCUAUAAGCCAAGAAUAAAAAAAUAAGAUUGAUAUGCUAGCUAUGUGAAAUCUUACUCAUGUUUGCAACUUGAAUUGCUUUUAUAUAUGCACAAUAGUCAUAAAUUGCAAGAUGGGUAUUGAGAAUUGAAAGAUGUGAUGCUGCUUGCAAUCUUUUGUAUGUGCCCAAUAGUCACAAAUUUCAAGAUCAGUAUUGAGAAUAGAAAAGAUGUGAUGAUUGAGGCCCUAAGUGCUAAUGAAGGAAUAUGUCAUACAUUAUAUAAGGAUUCAAGUGAGAUGAUUGAUGAGAAAGGAACAAUGCCUAAGUGAUAGACCCUUGACAAAGCUGAUCGGAAAGCGGCGCGGAGGUGGCGAGGAUUUUGGCAUGAUGGCCUUGCCAUUGGCCUUAUGCACGGGGAAAAUCAACAUGCAAGACAAUGCGGGUGUUGUCGAUGGCAACAAACUGUUGAAAGGGCAAGUGUGACGGACUACGCUUCUAUUUGAGGGCUUUGGUAUGAUGGACUACAUCAAAAAUAUAAAGGGGCUGUUUGCAAGCAAAGUCCAAGACCUUGACGGAACUAUGCGGGCUAGACGGAUGCUUGACAAGGCAAAACGGGAAAGACCUCCGCGCUAAAUUGGGGCAGUUUAGCGUCAAGGAAGUGGCAUUGGUAAUGUGAUGUUGCCAUGACUUAGGUGAGCGGGCUGGCACCUAAGUGGGCAAAUGACUUGGCUGAGGGAAGGGCAUCAAGGCUCGAUGAUUUGAUGCUAAAAUCAUAUUGACAUGGGCAAAGGCAAGUAAAUGUGCGACGGAAAGGCGGUGUGCGGGCAGAUUUGGCAUUGGUUCGAGUUGCGGCCAAACAGGCAAAGUUCAUGGGCAAUGAUAAGGCAAAUUGGAGCACAAUGCACCUUGAUACAAUGGCAUUGAUGCCUGGUCCAAGAUGAGCACGAAAUUGGGGAAGCAACAAGGGAAUGGACCAAGUCAAAGGCGGUUACUGGCACAUGCUGUGCACAUGAUGCAGUUGGGCGGUUACAACUACCUAUGUCCAGAAGUUGCUGAUUUUAAGGCCAAGUGUUUUCACGUUUUUUGGAGCAUGUUUUAUCAUGCGGCACAUGUUGUGCACAGGAUGCAGUUGGGCGGUUACAACUACCCAUGUCCAAAAGUUGCUUAUUUUAAGGCUAAGUUUUUCCACGUUUUUUAGGGAAUGUUUUAUCAUGUUCCCACGUUUUUAGAUCAUGGGGAUCAUGUCCUAUCAGUUGGGGGAUGUCAACUGAACAAAGGAACUAACUUUGGGUUAACUACACUAUAUAUAUAUAUAUAUAUAUAUAUAUAUAUAUAUGUGUGUGUGUGUGUGUGUGUGUGUGUGUGUGUGUGUGCUAGUAGCCUUAAAAACGGGCUGGAGUACGUAGGGAGGGAAUUAGUCUAUAAAAUAGGCAUAGGGUUGUCUAUUUUAUGGCUUGAGCAUGGCAAAGUGUGUGCCAUUGCCUUGACAAACGAGUGGAAGGACGAGCGGCCUUAGGAGGGGGCCUUUUAUAAGGCAGAAUCGUGCAAUUGUCGACUUUUUGUGAGUAGGUGCGGCCAAGGGUGGCAGCACCUUGCCAAACUCGAGAAUUUCCUUUGUAAUUAAUUUUAUAAAAGGUUGGGAAAAGGGUUUCCCGUAAAUCUGCUUGUCUCCUUCUUAUUUCUGUUUCCUUAAAUUAGUUCUAAGUGCAAACCUCGAAAGCGAAAGAAAAUUAGGUAAGGCUGAAGUCAAGUUGGGGCUUGGCUGCCGCACAGAUGAGCAGAUUUUCGGCGGACUGAAAACUCCCCCGUGACUCUAAGUAGGGUGGCCUAGCCGAUCGGGCCGUGAUCCGACUCCGCUCAAGAUAGCAGUGGAACUAAGGAUAGUGAUGAAUAUAUGAAAUAAAUGCCCCAAACUAAGUUGUGGAAAUUAUGUGAAAGAUUACCUGGUGCGUUUAUUUGAUGAUGUGGUGUUCAGUUUAAACCAUGAUUUAUUCUUGUGAUUUCCUUGUUAUCUCUUGAUAGUUUUUUCUAGUAAAAUGGUGUUUAGUUAUACAUACUAGUACUAUUCCAUGGUACUAACGUCCCUUUUGCCGGGGGCGUUAUAUUUUGAAAUGAAUGUAGGUGGCUCCGUAGCGGAUAGUGUCGAUCGCACGUAGAAGGUUAUCUCCUUCUCAAGGUCUUGGUGAGCCCUUUCUUCCUUCAAGGGGUUGUAUGGUAUAUCUUUUUUUGUUGUGAAUUUCAAUUUUAAGGUAUAGCCGGGGCCUUGUUACCGGCAUUAUUGUACUCACCUUUUGUAUCCUUAGAGGAUCCAUGGAAAUGUGUGUCGGUCAUGUAUGGGUAUUGUGCGGGCUCCUAAUCAAUGUUGUGAUUAUAAACUCCUGCUAUCUAUGAAUUGUAACUUUAUAGAAAUUCUGGAAACUAACUUCAUCUAUGGAUUAAGGUUGCAAUAUGGAACGAACUAUCAAUGAUGAAUAUAGUUUCUUCCCUUGCCUAAAUGAAAAGGUAACAUGGCUAUCUUAAUAAUAAAGAGUGGGGUAGAACGUGUGUGAUAAGGCUUGCUUGGUUGGGUUCACUCGAUCAAGCGCCGGUCGCGCCUCCUGAGGUUAGGGCAUGACAAAGGAGAAGAAGUUGGCGGUACUUAUUAUUGUCUGGUGAAGGGUCAGAGCCGAUGGUGGCCGACCAUCAACUGACAGGCAUUUAAUGCUUUGGUAACCAAACCAACGGGACGUUUCAGUACCCACUUGUUGUGGACGUCAUAAUCGGGCUCAUCUCUUACGUCACAGCACAUCGAGAUGGGAUAGGAAAAAUUCAUGUAAUUUCUUGUCGUCUUCUCUCCAAGAAAUGAGGGGACUAUCUAUAUACAUUCUAAUUUGGUCUUGCCCUUUUUGUGUGAAUGAUCGCGACUGGAAAUUUAUAUCAAACUAUGAUGCAAAGUUAAAUUUCCAAGCUUGUGGCCCUAAGACCGAUUAAGAUCGAGAUUGACCAAGAUUCAGAUCGACCAAUAUUGAAACCUAACAAGAUAGAGAUCGUGUAAAGCUUACCGAGUUGAAUAACAAAAAGAUAGAAUAUCCGCAAUCGGGUGAGGAUCACGGUGCGAAUCCGGCCCGUAUCAAGAAGAGACCAAUUAAUUAGACAAUCAUGGAAUUUCUACCUUACAUAGAAUUGUACUUAUAGUAGGACCCCCUACUAUUUAAAGGGGAGUCUGAUCAUUUAUAAACACAUCAUAUUCACGCAAUAUGAAGCAAUAUACUGUCAUUUUUUAGCUUUCAUUAUCCUGUUAUUCUGUUCAUAAGCAAGUUGAAACAUAUUUGGUUUAAGGGUGACCGAACUCAAGGGCCAUGGUUGUUUAAUUCAAUCGAUUUGCAUUUAUUCUUUAUUUUUUUUGUAUCUCAAUACUAAUCUAUUCUUCUUAAUUUGUACCAAGUUAUAUCAAGUAUCCUUAAAAUCGCAUAUAAAUUCAAUUGUUGUUCAAUUUUAAGGUUUUUCUUGUAAUCGAGAUGAUUGGAUAUCAUAUAAUUCUAUAUGAAGAUGACAAGUUAAAUUUUAUUUAAGUGUAUGUGUUUUUUCUUACUUAUUUUGAUUUUAUAAGUUACAAACAUGUAAUGAAGCAUAUCUCAGCUGAUAUUUCCUUAUAGAUGAUAUUUCUGAUGUAAUUCACUUUCAUCCAUUUCGAUAAUUUCUUUCAUAGUUAAAACUCAUGCUAAUCAAUGUUAAUAUCUCUCUUGAUACAGCGUAAAAUUUGGCAUGUAAAUAAAUAUAUAAAUUCCCAAGUUAUUUAGAGAUUUUAAAUUCUUAGAUAAGUUACCUAGGGAUUAUACUUUUUCGUUUGUAAAUUACUUGCUAAUUCUUGCACAAGAAAAUUUUGAUUAAAUAGUGUCAACAAAGGAAGUUCACUUGAAAUUUUUCAUGGGAAAAAAGUCUACCAGUAGUUUCCAAAACUUCAUGUAAAUCCCUUGGAAACUUUAGGGCAAAAGUUGUGGUAAUGUGAUUUGUUAUGAUAGUCACAAGAAUACCUCGAUGAAAAUCCACAAUAAUACUUUUAUGCAAGAAAUUCCCACGAAAGCUUCAUAAAAAAUUCCCAUAAAAUCCUUUGGCAAAAGUUUGUAGGUAAAUUCCAGAUAAAUUUCUCGAUUAACCUGAAAUUAUAACUCCCCAAAAAAUUAUUUAAUAUUUCGGAAGCAAAAAUAAUAACGUCUAUUUAUUUUUGUAGGUAAAUUCCCAUAUAAAAGUUGAUGAUACUCGAGGCAUUUUUCAUGAAAAUUCGUAUGUGAUUUGUACAUUUUUAGAUGCUAAUUUACUUUUAUUUAAUCAUAAUUCUAUUUCACACAACUUCUAUAACGACUCAAUCGGCCGUUUUAAUUUUAGAUCCUUAUUUUUCUAAUUAAGACUCUUCGUAUGUGUCUUUACUAUUUUAUGGCUUGGGGGGAUGGUUGGAUUUAGAAGGGUUCGGGUUGAAAUCGAACACUUAGUUCCUUAAUAGUGGCUUAUAAUGAUCACGUUUAACUUGAGUUAACGUUUUAAGUAAACGACCUCAGAAUCAGAAUUUGACGGUCUCAAUAGAUUUGUAUGAUGAUUUAGGACUUGGGCAUGUGUUCAUAUCGGGUUUUUAAUGACUCGGGAGCGUUCAGGAGCUUAAUACCACAUUGAAGAUUUUCAAGUUCUUUAAAUUUUGUUUGGAGUAGACAUUGGUGUUAUCAAGGACCGUUUGGCAUUUAGAUCCUUGAAAUAAUUCGGUAUGAUGAUUUAUGACUUACACGCAAAAUUUAGUGCCAUUCUGAGUAUUCUAAGUAUUAUUCGGCGAGUUUAGAAUAACUUGAAAACCUUGAAGUUCAUAACUUAAUUCAAUUUCGUUUUGGGGUGCGAUUCUUAGUUUUGAUGUUAUUUUAUGUGUUUUGGGAGUUCGAGAAGGUGUGUAUUAUCUUUACGGACUUGUUAAUGCAUUUGGAUAGGGUCCCGGGUGGCUCGGGUAAGCUUCAAACCGCCCGAAGCUAAGUCCAAAAUGUUGUCACGGCUGGUUCUGGUUUUCUUCUUCGCGAUCGGGGGGUGGGGUCGCGUGCUCAAAGAAAAAAAGGGGUACUGGGAAUUGGUGCUUCACAUUUGUGACACUAGUCCGUAUUUGUAAAGGUCUACGACCGAUGAUUUGAUGACCUGAUUUAUCGUUCAUAGUUUUAACCCUCAAUUCUGUAUUUCCAAACCCCGAAUAGCUCCAUUUAGUCUUUCUCGAUUUAUGUUCCUAGUGUGGACCUUUUUUUUGAAGGUUUUUAUGUAAAAAAAUUGAUUAAAAUAUAAAAUUGUGCUUUAAAACUUAUUUCAAUUGGCAUCGAUUGAUAUAUUUGACAAACAGACCCGGUUUAGUAUUUUGGCGGUCCCGAUCGAUUCAUAUCAUGAUUUGGGAGUAAGACGUAUGCCCGGAAUCGAAUUCAGAAGUCUCUAGCUUGAAUUGUCAUAAUUUGGUUAAAGCUAAAAGUUUAAAGGUUUAAAGAAAUUUCAAGUUUGACCGAUGUUUGACUUUGUUGCUACCGGGUCCGAAUUCUGGUUAUGGAACUUGGUAUAAGUUCAUUACAAUAUUUAUGACUUUUCUGCAAAAUUUAGUGUGAAUCAGAGUUUUUUUGGCUUGAUCCAGACUUCUGGUUGUUAAAAUGAAUGCUCUUAUGUUUCUUUAGAAAAUCAUUUGUUUUCGUGUUUGAUUCAUAUUUCUAGGUGUUCUUUUGGUCUUUGAUUGUGCCAGCAAGUUCUUAGAUGUUAUUACACUUGUGUGCAUGUUUGGUUUGGAGUCUGGGAGGCUCGGGUGAGUUAUGGACACGCUACAAAAUGGUUUUGGACUUAGGAAAAGAGCUGGUGAAGUCUAUUUCUGGUGCAAUCUAGUUUCACAUUUGUGAUGUUGCAUUGCCUCUGUCAAGUUUUCAAUUGUAAACAAUUACUUUGCAAUUGCGAAGAAGGGAUGGGUCAACAGGUAUAGCAUUUGAAAUCAGAUGGUCGCAAAUGUGGAGUUUCCAAGUUCGCAUUUGCGAACAAACCAUCGCAUCUGCGAUGGCAGUAGAGAUGCGAAUUUUGCAGUCGAUCUCUCGGAUUUUGGGAGUUCGCAAUUGCGAACCUCAUGUCGCAUUCGUGACAUCUCCGCCUGGACAAAAAGCUGAAAAAAUCGGGAUUUAGCUCAUUUUUCACAAACUCUCAAUCCAAAACAACCUAGAGGUGAUUUUUCCAAAGAACGUUUCUUCCUAAAUUUAUUGGUAAGUGACUUUAAUCUACUUUUUUACAAUUACUCAUUACAAUUCUCAACUUUUCAAUAUUAAAUCUAGGAUUUUCAAGGUAGAAAUUGUGUGUUUGGGUAGAAUCAGUUAUUUUGUAUAUUUGGAAUUUAGACCACGAAUUGAGGUCGGAUUUUGAAACUAAUUAUAUAACCGGGUUCGGGGGUGAAUGGGUAAUCGGAUUUUUAUCCAAAUUUCAGGUUUUGACCAAGUGGGCCCGGAGUUGAAUUUUGUUGACUUUUCAAUAAUGAUCUAAAUUGAACUUAUUUCAUUCGUGAGUAAUUUCUAAAGCUUAUUUUGAAUUGUUUGAUUAAUAAUUUGUUAGAUUUGGUUGGUUUGAAGGCUUGUUCGAAUGGCAAGGAUGUGGUUAACCUUGAGUUGAUUGUAGAGUAAGGUAAGUAUUGGGUCUAACCUUGAUUUGUGGGAAUAGGAACCCAUGAGCUAUGUGCUUUGUGAAUUUUAUAUAUAUCAGCAUAUAUGCGAUGUGUAGAGUGUCUAUACGCCAUCAAUUACUUGUUUCCAUGUCUAUUCAUAUUUCACUAAUUAUAUUAUUCCAUGUCUUGAUUUUUACAUGCCUUAAUUGUUAUGUAUGCCUUAACUUGUUACUUCAUUCAUUAUUCUCGCAAUGUAAAUGUAAAUUUCUCCCAUGUUUCUAUGCUUAUAUAAUUUCCUUACUUGUCUUGAUUGAUUCGAGAAAUUCUUGUGAUUCGAGUUUUAAAAUUGAUUCUUGUUGACUUAUUUAUGGAUCGGAUUGCACGCCGCAAUAGGUGGAAUAAGGAUGGAUUUUUAUGGAUAAGGUGGGAACAUGUAGCACGUCGCAACAUGUGAAAUAAGGGUAAAUUGAAUGGUGAAAUAAGGGUGAAUUAUGAUAUUUAUUCUGAAUAUAUGGUGGGAUCGUAUUGCAAGCCGCAACAUAUAUUUACUUAUUAUUAUUUAUACUUACAUGGGGGAAUAAGGAAGAAUUGUGUUGUACGGUGGGGUCGGAUUGCGCGCCAUAACAGUUUAUGUGAUUUAUAUUCCUUGUUAUAUUAUGAUUAGCUUCGAUACUUUCAUACGAGACUCUGAGGAUUGGUAUUUGUAUAUUUACUGGUUUUGGAGGAAUGAGUUAUUUUCAUGAGUUAGAUGCCUUAUUUUCCUUAUUUUCCUUUCCUGUCAUUAUUUUUAUACUUCGUACAGGUUAUUGUAAGUGAUACGCCUUACUACUUCAUCGAAGUUAGGCUUGUCACUUAUAGAUUACAUGGAGUCGGUUGUACUCAUACUAAACUCUGCACUUUUUAUGCAGAUUUUGGAGUCAGUCCUUGUAACGGUCUGUACAUUUUCUCGGGUUUGCUAUUAGUACGGAGACUUGAGGUACAGCUGCUCGACAUUCGCAGCCCCCUAAGGUCCCCUUCUUCUUUAUCUUAGUUGUGUACAUUCCUUCAAUUAGCUUUACUUUUAUUCAGACCUUUAUUUGUACUAUUAUAGUAGCUCAUGCACUUGUGACACCAGAUUCCGGAAUGUAUUUAUAUAUAUCAGUUGUUAUGGUUUUCCGCACUUUAUUUCAAUUCCAUCUCAGUUAUUUUAGUAAGUGGCAUCAUUAAAUUUUAUUUCUUUAAAAUAGCUUAAAUUUUUUAUAUCUAACGUUGACUUACCUGGCAAGUAAAAUUUUAGGCCUCAUCACGGUCCCGAAGGUGAGAAUUCUAGACUGUGUCAUGUGACUUUGUGUUCGUGUGAAGGGGCACGCAUUCACGUAGAGGAAUCUUGGGCUGGGGGUGGCAAUGCUAUUGGUCUUCGCAUUCACGAAGAAGCCAUCAUGUUCGUGAAGAAACCCUCCCGUCGCCUAGGGUACGCCAGGCUAGCUUUUACAAGGUUAUGGUCACGUUUGCGAUACCCAUUUUUCUGGGCCUUGGGUUGUUCGCCUUCGCGAUCACGAAAAAAGGACGCAUGGGUAGAAUGUUUUAAAGAGUUGGGACUUAAGAUUUUGGUUCAUUUCUCUCACUUGUUGGGCUAUUUUAGAGCUCUUUGAGGAGAAAUUUUCACCUAGAACUUUGAGAUAAGUUUUUUCCACAAAAUAUAAGUUUAAUAUAUACAUUAUGGGUAGAUUUUAACAUAUAAAUUGUGAAAAUUUUAGGAGAUACUUGGAAAUCUAGGUUUUGAUAAAAAUGGGAUUAGACCAUGAAAAUUAUUAUGGAAUUAAGUAAAAAUUCUAUAUUUAGAGUCGUGAGGUUAUGGUUUACAUUUAUCUUCAAAAAUAUUCGAAAUCUGUGCGCGUGGAUUCGGGGAUAAUUUAUCAAUUUGGGUUAGGUAAUUAUUCUAAUAGUUAAGUUAUGAACUUUUGAGUAUAUAUUGAUUAAUUUAUAUAAUAUUUGGCUAGUUUCAAAUUGUUUGGCACAGACUUGAGGCUUUUAGAGUGAUUUGUGGACCAAAAAGUGAACUUGUGACAACCCGGCCGUUCGUCUUAAGGAUUAACGCCUCGAUCCCCUAUUAAGUGCUUUCCCCAUAUUUAUUUCUGCUAUUUUAAUUAGCCGGGAUGUUCGGUUUUAAGUUUCGGAGAGUUUUGGGAUACUUAGUCCCUAAAUGAGAGCUUAAGUGUUGGAAAGUUAACAUUAGUCGGAACACUGUGAAGACAGUCUUGAAAUGGAAAUCUGAUGGUUCUGUUAGCUCUGUUGGUGGAUUUCGAGCUUAGGGACGUGUUCGGAUUGUGUUUUGAAGGUCCGUAGCUAAUUUAGGAUUGACAUGCCGAAAGGUCGAAUUUUGAAGUUUCCGGUUCAAUACAGAGAUUUUGAUCCGAGAGUCGAAAUAGAUUUUCGGAAGUUGGAAUAGCUCCAUAAUGUUAGAUGUGAUGUGUGUGCAAAAUUUGAGGUCAUUCGGACGAGGUUUGUUAGACUUUUUGAUCGAAAGCAUAUUUUUUGAGUUUUUGGAAUUCUUAGGCUUGAAUUCGAUGAAAAAUAGGUAUUAUGAUGUUGUUUUGAGCGUUCCGAGGGUUGAAAAAAGUAUUAAUGAAGUUCUGGAAUAUGUUGGUAGGUUUGGUUGAGGUCCCGGGGGCCUCGGGAUGAUUUUGGAGGGUUGACGGAAGGAAUUUCAGAUUUGGAAUUGACAUCUUCAGCUGGUUUUCUGUCAUAACCGCACCUGCGGUUUGGGUUCCGCAGGUGCAAAGUCGCAGAAGCAGAACAGCAAGCAUAGAUGCAGAUUUGGGGAGGAUCAGCAGGUUCCGCAGAUGCGGGUAGUUCACCACAGAAGUGGUACCGCACUUGCAGAUGGGUAACCACAGGAGCGGAAUUUAGGUUUUAAGUGAUUUUCACAGAUGCAGUCAAGUCUCCGGAUAAACAGGAAUACAAGUGGGGUUCCUUGAUCGUAGAAGGGGUACCGCAGGUGCGGUCCCUUGACCCCAGAAGCGGAACAACUGGGCAGAAAAGGGGACAGAACGAGGGUUUGUUCAAAAACUUGGGAAAAUUGAUUUUGGAGAUCGGGAUAGGCGAUUUUGAGAGGGAUUUUUACCUGGGUAUUUUGGGUAAGUGAUUCUUACUCGUUUUUUUAUUGUUUUCCACGAAUCUAUGCUUAAGUUCAUCCUUUAAAUUCGAAUUUGGGGUGGAAAAUUUGAAGAAAAGUUGAAAAAGGUUCUUAGACUUAACAAUUGAAUUUGGAUCACAAUUUUGAAGUCAUAUUGGGAUAAUUUUGAUAUAAAUAAACUCAUGAGAGUGUGAGGAUUCUAGAAAUAUAAAUUUUACUCGAUUACGAAACGUGGGCCCGAGGGACGUUUUGGUUAUUUUAUUUUAUUUUGCGUAUUAGCUUAGAAUUUAAUUGUAGAUUUAGUUACUUGAAGUGUUAUUUAAAUUAUGCAAUUUAAUUGAAUAGAUUAGAGCCAUUUAGAGUCGAGUACUCGUGACAAGAACAUGGUCUCAGAUUGACUAUUGAGUUGGUUCGAGGUAAGUGGCUUGUCUAACAUUGUGUGGCGGACUCUCCCAUUAGGAUUGGUAUUGUGAUAUUUGAGAUGCCUUGAGUGCGUACUAGUGCUAAUUACUGAAAAUCCAUUUUCUUUAAGUAACUAAGCUGUGUUUUCUUUUCCAUAUUAUUACUACUUAAAAUUUAAACUUGUUGUUAGCUUAGGAAAGCAUGUGUAAAUGACUUAAUUGCUUAUUUGCUCAGACUGCCUUAUUUGAAUUAUGUGCAGCAUGCUAGGUUAGAAAUACAUGUUUCUCCUUGAUAUGAAGUUGACGAAUUCUGGUUAUUCUUCGUGUUGUUGAUGUGUGUUUACAUUGAGACUACGGAUGUGGGAUUCCGAUAGAUCUCCCUUGUCUGUUUAUUUGGGAAUACGGAUGUGGGAUUCCAAUAGAUCUCCCUUAUUUGUUUAUUUGGGAAUAUGGAUUCAGGUAGAUCCUCUUGCACAUUUAUAUAGAACUACGUGAAUGCACCCGAUAGGUUCCCUCAGUACUGGGUAUUUACAUUUGGGACUACGGAUCGGAUUCCGGUAGAUCCUCGUGCAUUGAUAGUUGGACUACGGGACGAGAUCCCGGGAGAUCCUUCGGAUAUAUAUAUGAUGGACUGCGGAAUGGUAUCCCGGGAGAUCCACUUGAUAGUUGUGAUUGGGACUACAGGACGGUAUCCUGGAAGAUCCCCGAUUGUUAUCUCUGUAUUGAGCCGUAUUUCCUUUCCGUUAUAUCUUGUCUCUGUUCUAGUUGUUGUUGUUCUUCUAUUUUGGUUACUUCUUACUGUUGCACUCAGUUAUGUUGUCUUAUUCUACGAUGUUAUACCUUAUCUUAUUUAAUCUCAGUAGGUCCCUGGCCUUCCUCGUCACUACCUGGCCAAGGUUAGGCUUAGCAAUUACUGAGUACCGUUGUGGUGUACUCAUGCCCUUUUUGCGCAUGUUUUCAUAUGCAAAUAUAGGCGACUCAGACUUACCACUAUUGAGGCGAGGCGAUCCUUCGGAGAUUUCGAGGUAUAUCUGCCGCGUCCGCAGACUGAAGAGUCUAUCUCCAUUUUCUCUUAUAUUGAUAGUCAUUCUAUCUUUACUGUUGAUGUAGACAUUUCGGAGUUAGAGCAUUUUAUUAUAUUCUUAGCUUGUGGUUCAUGGGUUUCCGGAUUUGGGAAGUGUUGUUAGUUUGAGAAGUUGUAUUAUAUAUGCCGAGCGGCAUUUUUAAAUAUUGUUUCAUUCUGUUAGUUUGGUCUUUAAUUACUUCUUCCGCAAGUUUUUUCAUUGCUAGGCUUACCUAGUCGUAGUGACUAGGUGCCAUCACGACAAUUCACGGAGGGCGAACUGGAGUCGUGACAGAACUUUGGGAUGAGGUAAGUCUCUUUCCUAACAUUGUAAUAAGGAAUUUAUUUCAUAGGUAUUUAAAAUGCUAUUUGCUACUAAUUGUGGGUGCUACAUACACACGAAGUGAUGAGAAUCCGUGGCGUAGCUAGAUUUCAUGUUAUGCACGGUUGUAUUAGUAAGUAAAACUUGGUUAAAGAUUAUGUUAAAUCAAGCUUUAUUACUUAGAGAAUUGGCGAAAAUGUUUAAUUAUUGAUGGAAAUUAUAGUCUUUCAUAGGUCCAUCUAGGAGUUGUAAAUGUGAAAUUUGAAAUCAAAAAUGUUUCCCUAUUCCUAUGGAUCGAGCUGAAUUCCUCAGCAAUAUAUAUAUAUACACACACACACACACAGGGAUCGGAACAUACAACCUCAAUAGUGUAUGUACACGAAUAUUAUGAUUCGAGUCGUACGACCUCGGCAUAACUCGUGCAUGUUAUCACUCGAAGUCCUAUUUCACUUGAUAUGUUUGUCAUGGCUUGAGGAUUUAGAACACAUGUUAAGUCCAUACUUGUUGAGGUUACUAUGUGAUAUCUGGGGACUUUUAAUUGUUAUUUGAUAAAUGGUCAUUAAAUUAUUGCCUCUUAUUCCAUUAUUGAUGUUGAUUUUCAUACAUAAAAAACAAUCUGGUACUCUAUGUUUAUUUCCAACUAAUAAGUGUCGAAGUCGACCCGUCGUCACUAUUUCUUCAAAUUUAGACUAGAUACUUACUAAGUACAUGUUGUUUAUGUACUCACGCUAUACUUCUGCACUAAUUGUGCAGAAUCUGAGGUAGCUGCAUCUGGUGGUCCUUCAAGCGCUUACCCUUAUUACCUAGAGGCUUAGAGGUGAGAUGCUCUCUAUGCACAUUCUACAGCGUCUAGAGUCUCUCCUUAUUGUAUUUAUUUUCUGUCUAUCUUAUUCCAGACAGUAGUAUAGGAGGUUUCUGUAUAUUCUACUAGCUUGCUCAUGCACUUGCGACAUCAUAUUUUGGGAUUAAUCUAGUAAACAUUUUAUAGUUUCAGGUAUCAAAUUCACUACCUCACUCUUUUUGGAAUUUGAUGCUUUUUUUACUAUAAUUUCCUAUUAAUAGAUCUCUCAUUGGAUAAAAUCAAUUAAUUUAAAAAUAUUAAAAUGAAUAAUGAAAUUGAUCAAUUUUGGCUUGCUUAGCAGCGACGUGGGCGCCAUCACGGCUGAUAGUGGAAAUUAGGUUAUGAUAGUUUGGUAUCAUAGCUCUAGGUUCAUAUAGGUUUCACAAGUCAUGAGCAGUUCUAAUAGAGUCUUGCGAAUCAGUGCGAAAAUGAUCGUACUUAUCUUCGAGAGGCUAUAGGAUGUUAGAAAACUUCUCUUUCUUUAUCUUCUAUUGUGCAGCUGAUGUUGUGCUAAGUAUCUUUCUCUUAUUCUACCACAGAUGGUGAGAACACGCACUUUAGAUGUACCCAGCGGUGGAGCUGCUACGCCAUUGCUAGAGGCCGGGGGAGAGCUCCAGCUCCUGCUAGAGGAUGAGGGAAUCCUAGAGUUACUCCCAUCAUACCACCAGCAGAUCCAGUGGAGGAUCCUAUCAUUGAGGGAUGGGAAAGGUGCCUGCAGUUGAGCCGACCUUGGCAAAUUUCACGUCCGUGAUGGAAUUUCAGGAGGUCAUGGGUCGUACGCUCCGUUUCAUGGAUUCUAUGAUUCAUGCUAAUUUAUUUCCAGUGGACCUAGCCACAUCUCAGGCGAGAGGGGGAGUGCAGACCCCUACCGCUCAGUCUCCAGAGCAUGCUACUAUCGUAUAUCAGAACCCACGUACAUUACCUAUGGGCGGAGCCAAGCUGGCUGUAACAGUUGUAUUAGAGCCCAAAUCAGAUGCGGUAUUCAAGUCGUAAGAUAUUGGAUACAUGGACCAGACUACAUCCUCCUAUCUUUUGCUAUGAGCGACGUGAGGAUCCUCAUAAUUUUUUCACCAUUGAAGGAAUCGAUAACAUGAGAGUAUUUGAUUCCAAUGAGGUGUACUUCACCAUAUUUCAGUUGGCGGGCAUGGCAUGUAGAUGGUAAUAUCCCUAUCUUCUUAGCAAGCCAGCGGAUUCACCACGGCUUUGACUACAUCACCGAUUUUAAUUUUGCCUUCCAUUUUAGAGAAGUAUGUUGUUUAUUGUGGUGCUUCGCACGUUGGCCUAGGUUGUGUAUUGAUGGAGGAGGGGCAAGUUAUUGCAUGUUCUUCAAGUCAGUUGAAGUCUCACGAAAAGAAUUACCUCGUACAUGAUUUAGAGUUAGCCGUGAUAGUUCAUGCUCUCAAAAUCUUGAGGCAUUAUCUUUAUGAGGUUCCUUGUGAGGUUUACCUGAUCAUCAUGGCUUGUCGCAUUUGUUCAAGCAAAGGAAUCUCAAUUUGAGUUAGUGCAAGUGGCUUGAGUUGCUAAAGUACUAUGAUAUUACCAUCCUUUAUCAUUCUGGCAAGGCAAAAGUGGUUACAAAUUCCUUGAGUAGAAAGGCCGAGAGUAUGGGUAGUUUAGCAUUUAUUUCAGUAGAGGAGGGGAUAUUGGCUUUGGACAUUCAUUCCCUAGCUAACAGACUUGUGAGGUUGGAUAUUUCAGAGCCCAGUCAAGUUUUUGCAUGUGAAGUGUAUCAGUCUUCAUUAUUUGAGCAGAUCAAGGCUCGUCAAUACGAUGAUCCGCACCUUCUGGUUCUUAGAAAGACAGUGCUACAGGGUGGUGCAAAGGAGGUUACUAUCGGCGAGGAUGGUGUUCUGCAACUGCAGUGUCACUUAUGUUUUCUUAAUCAAUACAAUCUAUAGGAAUCGAUUCUAUAUGAUAAAGCUAAGUUCUUUAACCAAAUUCAAAAGUCAACCCAAUAAGUCUACCUCGGGCCCAUGCCUUGGAACCCGACAAAAUUCAUAAAAUCCGAACAUCCAUUCAAUAAUGAUUCUUAUCAUCCAAUUCUGACCACAAAUCAACCCCCAAACCCCUAAAUCUUACACAUCAAUCCAUAGUCAAAAAUCCCCCAAAUUUCGCCUUAAAAACACAUAAUCUAUGUGUAAAAAUCAAUGGGCAUUCUAUAUUAUUGGACAAAAGUGAUAAAAAAAAAUAGCAUGCCUCUUGAUUUGUUAUAAAAUCCUUCAUAAAAAUUGCCACUAAUCGAGCUCCUCAAGUCAUAAAUAUGAAAUCGUAUUUUAACUCACGAUUUGGGGUUUUAAAUCAGCCCAGGUACGCCGACAACCUGGUCACAAACACGAUGACAUCUAACCCAAUGCCUACGUGAAUGCGACCCCAUUCUCACGAACGUGAAGAAUAAAUGCCUGGUGCCCAAGCCAGCCUCGUGCUUCUACGCGAACACGGAACCCCUCUCGCGAUCGCGAUUAAUAGAACCACUAAACCUUCGCAUACACGAUGAACAAACUUCACCAUUCACCCAAAUACACUUUGCGAAUGAGGAGCUCUACAUUAAACAACCUGCUGGAAUUGAAGACUUGCAAUUUUCAUACCAUGUGUUUAAGUUGACUAAGGCCCUCUACGAAUUAAAACAAGCACCUAUAGCCUGGUACGAAAGACUAAGUUCAUUUCUAGUUAUUCAUGGUUUCUCAAGAUGUAAGAUCAGCACAACUCUCUUUAUCAAAAGUUCAUCAUCAGGUAACCUCAUUAUUCAAAUUUAUGUUAACGAUAUUAUCUUUGGAAGUGCUAACCCUUUCUUAUACAAGAAAUUCUCGCAUCUCAUGCAAAGCGAGUUCACAAUGAGCAUGAUGGGAGAACUAAGAUUCUUCCUUGGACUUGAAAUCCAUCAAUCAGACGAAGGUAUCUUCAUAUAUCAAACAAAGUACACGAAGAACCGAUAUUAAAAUCAUCAAUCAGACGAAGGUAUCUUUAUAUGUCAAACAAAGUACAUGAAGGAACUGAUACAAAUAUUUGGAAUGAGCAACGCAAAGGCACUUGGAACUCACAUGAUCUAGCCACAUCCCUUGACAAAAAUGAGGAAGGAAAAUCGAUAGAUGAAUCAAAAUAAUGUAGAACGAUCAGAUCUCUAAUUUACUUAACUACUAGUCGAGCUGACAUAAUGUUUAGUAUGUAUAUAUGUGCCAAGUUCCAAUUAGCUCCCAAAGAGUCUCACUUAACGGCAGUGAAACAAACUAUUAGAAAUCUCAUUGGGGACCACAUCACUUGGUUUAUGCUAUCAACAUCUUAACAUUUUUAAGCUUGAUGUUUUGUCAUAUGCAUAUCUUGCAUGAGAUAAAGAUGAUAAGAAAAUCACAAGUGAAACAUGUCAAUUACAAGAAAAAUCACUCAUCUCUUGGAAUAGUAAGAAAUAGGGAUCAGUCAUGUUAUUUACAAGAGGCUGAAUACAUUGCUAUCAAACAAUGUGGUACUCAACUACUUUGGAUGACUCACCAACUAAGUGAUUAUGAUCUUUCUUUUAAGCUUGUUCAAAUUUUCUGUGACAAUUCUAGUACUAUUUACUUGUCAAGAAAUCCAGUGCAUCAUUCUACGGAAAAGCAUGUAGAUAUCUAGCAUCAUUUUAUUAGCUAUCAUAUUUUUAAGGGUGAUAUCGUAUGUUAGUAGUAAUAAUCAAUAUGUUGAUAUUUUAACAAAGCCUCUUUUAGCAAACAGUUUUCAAAAUCUUAGGGACUAAUUUGGCAUUAUUACUUUUUUCCAAAUAGGUCUUCGAAAUUUCUGUACUUUUUAAAGAUUGUGUGUGAUAGUGAUCUUGGUAGGAAAUCUUUCUGUACCGUCGUGUCACAUCAUUACCCUCAGUAGCAUUAAUGAGACUCAUCCAUUUUUUGUCCCUCUUCCCAACUUUUUCAUACCCCGAGAUAGAAACGGAAUCAAUCAAUCAUGCUUGUUCCAUUUCUAUGCACCCAUUUAUUUACGAGCAUCAAGGAGAACAAAUAUUUGAUUUCAGUUAUUUAUGAAAUACAUAGCAAUCAAUCUGCAUAGAAGAUCUGCUGAGAAUAAUCAAUCACAAUCUUUCAAGGAAGUGACAGCCAUCACGUCACUCUUCAAGGAUCGAGUAUAGAAAGUUUCUUAUCCUUGUAAGGAAUCAAUUAAAGAUUAUUCUAAGGAUCAACUCCUUUGGGUGGCCCAUUAUCUAAGGAUGUGUCAUACUGAGAAGACUUGCCCUCAAAUCAUAUAAAUAUAACAAGAGGCUCAACAUAAGAGAUAUACUUUGAUCGAACCAUUAUCAAUCUUUUUGUUCUACUCCAAAUAAGAUUAUAUUAUAUUCUAGAUUUAUUGUGCAACUAGGGAGAGAAGAAAGAGAGAAAAGAAUCAUUGGUGACAUAUUGUAUGAAAAUCAAGAAAAUAACGUAUAUAAUGAAGAAGUUGUUGUGUAUAACGAUAUCAACACACUUGUAAACAAAGAUUUCAAAUACUCAAAAGAGAAUUUUCUUGUAAUCCAAGGGGACUGGAGUAAGAUUGACAUUAAAAUGGAACCAGCAUAAAACACAUGGUGUGAUUUACUUUCUACAAUUUAUUUUCUGUACUUACUUCAUAUCUAUCUCACAUCAUGGAUUCAGUCGACUAACAAGAAAUUAGCCAACUACCUUGUGAAAGAAAAGAAAGAGGGCCCUCGUACUUUCACGCGUGACAUGAUUUUAUCACACCAAAUAAAAUGAAUUCACACACACAUAAUCCGCUUCCAAGAUUAAUUCCAUAAUCUAAUAAUCAAGUAAUUAAAAGCAAUAAAUAGAAAAAUAUACAUCAGGGGCGAACACACCACUUCCCAAGCGGUGUCAUGUGACACCCUUAGUCUAGAAUUCUACUAAAUAUACAUAUAGAAAGAUGAAAGUAUCGAGUGUAAAUAGAGAAAAUUAUACCGCGUAUUGUCACACCUCCUUUUUGCUACUACAACCCGGCGAAGGGCGUAGAUAAAGGAGUUUUUUCAAUUUAAGGACAAUCGAAACGGGAUUCAAUUAUUUAAGAGAAUUUCAGAGUCGCCACUUGGGNNNNNNNNNNNNNNNNNNNNNNNNNNNNNNNNNNNNNNNNNNNNNNNNNNNNNNNUUUAAGAGAAUUUCAGAGUCGCCACUUGGGAGAUUUAUGGUGUCCCAAGUCACCGAUUUAGAAUCCCGAAUCGAGGAAAAGAAUGACUCUGUUUACAGUUUGCGAACCAGAAAUCCGAGUAAGGAAUUCUGUUAACCCGGGAGAAGGUGUUAGGCAUUCCCGGGUUUUGUGGUUCUAGCAUAGUCGCUCAACUGUUGUGCUCGGCUUAAAUUAUCUGAUUUUACACAAUUUUGAACCUAUGUCCAUUUUUGAAUCUUUUAACCGCUUUUAUUAUUAUUUUUAAAGAGAAUUGCAACGUUGCUAAAACAUGUCUCGAACCGCGUCACAUAAAUGCACUCGUGGUUUUUGACGCGUUCUAACUUCGUUGGGAUUUGGAUUUGGGUCACAUAAAUGUGCACCCGAAUUUAGGAAAGUAAAUUAUUAAAGACGUGUCCUAAAGCGCCUAGCACGUUGUUGUCUUAGCGGGAACACCGUGAAAUUUUCUAAAUGGGGUAUCCCGAAUUUUCUAAGUAUUUUAGACUCGGUAUUUUAAAAGAGAUAAUCAAGGGACUGUUUGUUAUUUGUCAUAACUCUAAUAAGCUAACUACAAGGGAUCAUGGUCAAUACCUCAUUUGAACGGACUAAAUUCAUGUAACAGCUGGGCCUCAUGCGAAGUACUGCGUGGCAGUCUAAUCCUUGGGGCUCAAGAGCAACCCUUUCAUUUAAGCCUUCAAUUGAAGUGGGUUAGUAUUUAUCACUAUAUUUUGGGCCCUAGCGUGAACCCAAGCUAAGAUGCAGUGAACACAGGCAUAAAGCAUUUGAAGCUGGUUUGCCAUAUUGCCUAGUCAACCCAAGUGAGCCUAGUAUUACACAAAUAGCUUAGUAUUGCACAGAUAGCCAUUACUGCUAGCUUUCAUCUAUCCAACUCAAAUUUAACUAACACAGAACAUCUAUCAAACUCAGAUUUAACUAACACUUAAGAAUGAACCGUACCUAAACUAUAAAUGCAUUUACUAUUAAAUUGCCCUACUUUGAAUGAAAUUACACCACUAACAGUAUUCAGAUAAAGAAUUUAACAGUCCAAACAGUCUCAUCAGGCAGUUCAUGCGUAACACUACUACUUAGAUCUCAUACAAAUUACAAGUUUAGAAAAAUAAAGUGCACACAGACAUCAAUAAGAAAAAAAAUGAUUGCUCAUGAUAACAAAUCAGGUACAGCAGUAGUUCUCAUUCCUUAUACAUUUGAAGCUGCGCAUACCUGGAAUUACAAAGAAGACAGGAAGGAGAAUAGUCAGCUAGAGACCAAUGAAAUUGAUAGGCAGUGUAAUGGCAAAAUCAACAGCUCAACCACAGCAUAAAAUGGACUAGGCAGAUUUGCUACCAAAUGAGACCCAACAACAACCCACAUAACUUGAAUUCAUCUCAAACAACAUACAUUCAUAUCCAAACACUCCAGGAAUACAUAAAACCCAAGCAGGUGAGAUCGAACCCAAAACAAAACCCAAAAUAGCCCUGAAAAUAACUGAGCUCUCAAUGAAGCAGUGUUUGUUGAACUUUUAGCUCAUAUUUGCAGUCCUAAAAUGUCCAGAUUUGAAGGAAGGGCUUCCAAUUGCUCCCACUAACCAAUGCAUUUUUUAUUAGAGUUGCAGAGAUUGAAAAAAAAACUGAUUUGUGACUAUGGCUGGAAAUUUUUGUCAAUUCUCACAGUGUCCAACCCCUUUUUGAGUGAUUUUUAGCCCCUUUUUAUAGCCAAAGGCUAGGUCAUCACCCCUAUUUUUUUUUAGCCUAAGGUCCCCCUUUCAAUUUUCAGAUUUUACUUAUUUGAACCCUCAUUUCUUGACUUGUUUCCCAAGUUACUGCAGUAAUACUAUUGAUUUUAUUAUAAGGACCCCUUCUAGAAGGGUCUAAAGACUUCUACCACUUUCUAUCCUUUAUAUUCUACCUAUAUUACCCUUGUUUGUUCUCAAUAUUACCAAAAAUAACCUGAAAAGUCCACAUUGCCCUUAAUGGUCUUUGUCUAAAGACUUCAACCAUUUUCUACCCUUUACAUGCUACCCAUAUUACCGUUAUUUGUUCUCAAUGUUACCAAAAUAGCUUAAAAAGUCCAUAUUGCCCUUAAUGAUCGUAAGUUUAUCAGAACUAAGAAGGAAAAUCCUACACUACCCUCAGUUACUUACUUGGCAUUAAACUAACUUCUAAGACUAAUUCUUCUAAUCCUAACAACUUUAACUAACACAAAUAUUACUAAGCAAUUAACCAAAACAGACGCUGCUAUUCAAAUCAAGUUCGAUACUUAGAUUCUAGAAGAGGAACAUGUGAGGUUUCUUAUCAAAGCUCAAUCUCAGAGCACCUCACACCAUAAUCGACAUUUAAAUUUUAAACAACCAACAAAUUAACGAGCAAACAUGGGAUCUGCCAAGCUAACAAAACAAGCAAGACCAUCUCCUAAUCGCAUGGGAACUUAAACUAACGUUCAGAUUCAAGGUCAAGGAUAUUAUGAAAUUGUUGUUAUCAUGGAAACUAUUGAGCACAGUCCAAUUUAUCAUCUAAUUUUACAAAUAAAACCAACAUACAAUCAUCCUAGAAAUAACAAGUUAGAGAUUUGUUAAGACCCCCUUUAAAUUUGAACUAAGUCAACCCUAAUUGCUCGAAACAUGCAGAAAAUCACAAAGAUAAGGGAAACAAAACUGAGGAAGGUGGACUUACCGGAUUUCUUCAAUUUAUCACUGUUGGAAUCAAUUCAAAACCUCGGGUGAUUUCCAAACUUGGCCUUAAACUUCAAUUGUGGCCGGUGCCAACACUGGAAGGGUUCUGGGACCGUUUGAGUGGGUUUAGGUGGGCUUUUGGGUAGAUGAGAGCUAGAGGGGUGGUGGGUGUGGUGUUUGAAAGACAUUGGUCGGCAGCCAACGUCGUGCAUGGCGGAGCUUCCUUCUUCUCACACAUAUUCGACGAGUUGCAGACAUGUUCGAGAGUAUCCAAUGGCAAGGCUAGGACAAGGAGGGUGAGGGGGUCCACUAGUUUUGAUUGGGAGGUCGUUGGCCACCAGCCGCUGCCGUAGAUGGCGGAGCUGCCAUGUUUUGAAAGAAUAUUUGAGAAGUUCGGUGGGUAUUCGAGGGCCAAGAGUUGUAUACUUUGAAAGAGGAGGUUCAGAUGUAUAGGUGGUAUUAAUCUAGUGCAGUUUGGAGACCUGCCGCCGGCAGCGACAAUUUCCGGCCAGCGACGGACAGCAUGGUUGUGGUGGUUCAACGGUGGCGUUACACUAUCGGUUAAACUGUACGAGGGUGAUACAUUUGGUCUCUAAAAUUAUAUGAAGUUUCGGACAUUUUUAUUUCAAAGGCGAGGCUCCACGUGAGCCGUUAGAUCAAAGUCAUGGAUGGCCAAGAUUGAAUGCCACCAAAUGACGUCGUUUGACGUCUCUGGGGCUGGACGGGGUAGGAGUCAUUGGGCUGGGUUCCUGGUCUUGGGCUGGGUAUAAAUUGCACAAUUAGCCCAAAUUAGUCUUUUAAAACAAGAUCAUAUUUCAAAUCCCUUUUUCUUUACUUUUUUUAAUUUUAUUUUACCAAAUUCCUUUUAUUAUUAUUCUUUUCAAUUUCCAUUUAAUAAAAAAUUAGAAUAAAAACUUGACAUAAUACUUCAACUAAACUAAUUAAUUUUCUAAAAUAACCUAAAUCAUAAUUUAAAAGAAAACUAAGUGAAAAUUUGAAAUUGCAAAAAGAAAAGAUUUUGUUAUUAUUUAUUUUUCCGUGCUAUUAACCACUGAACUUAAGAGUGUUAAGACUGGUAUUUUAAAUAUAAAAAUAUCAUUUUUGUUCCUUUUAAUGAAUUAAAAUGUACUCAAAUGCCACUAAAUUGCCAAAAUUCAAAUAAUAAAAGAAAGAAGCAAAUGGAAUCACAUAAUUAAUAAGAAAAAAUGCAGAUAAACACAAAUCACAUGAUUAGUUCCUAAAACGCAAAUAACACAAAUCGUAUAAUUAAUUCCUAAAAACGCAAAUAAGCAAAUAAACACAGUUCACAUAAUUAAUUCCUAAAAACGCAAAUAAACACAAACCACAUAAUUAACUCCUAAGAAUGUAAAUAAUAAAAGAGAAUCCUAGUCUAUGAAUUUAUAGGAACGUUUCAAGCAAGGCAAAAUUCACGUGCUCACACGUAUUAUUAAAGUAAUUUAUUCUUUUAUUUAUUUCUUCAAAUAUUGACACCGCUUGUGAAAAAUUCUGCCUACGCUAAUAAUAUACACAGUUCUUUAAAAUGCGUAACAAUCUGUUAAUUAAGCCAAGUUAUGAUGGUAAAGCAACCGCGCUAAAAAUCACGAAAUUCGAAGUACCUAAUGCAUUUUUCUAGAGUAACAAAAUUACUUACUCGGUAUUUUGUAUUUUGCAGACUUAAACAGGAUCAAUUUUUCUUGAAUUGGGAUUUUAAAAUAAAUGGCGAGGGACACCGUAAAUAAAUUUUUUAAAUGACGAUUCUUACAAAUUAAAUAAAAAAAAUCUUUUUAGUAAUAUCAUUUUAAUUAAAAAAUUCUCUUUGCCGUCAAAAGGAGAUGUGACAACAAAGCAAUAAAAAAAGCUAAGAAUAGUGACAGAUUGUUUGAAGGAUUUCAGUGACAGAAUAAAUUCGGAAAAGAACUGCACAUAUUUUAUAUCAACAAUGAACCUUGCAAGAAGGAAUAAGCAGAGUCCUUGAAAUUGAGAUUUUGAUGAAUUACUCAAACCAGCAAAAUCUACAUUCCUGUUUUUUCCAUUUUCCCAAGUUUUUAUUUGAAAUAGGGGACACAUGCCUAUUUGAACAUUAAUGGUCUAGAUUUAAUUAGUUGAACCUAAGACCUUAAUCAUGGUAAAAAUAAUGGAUAUUUCCAUAUUUAUUUCUAAACUUUGACAUUCUCAUUUCCUAUUGGCCAUAGUUGGCACCAAAAGAAUUCUAUCACGAAAGAUUGAGCAGCAGAUUUCGGACGAGAAAUCGAAGAUUCUUAACAAAGAAAUCAAGAGUUUAAUAUUAACAAUGAUGGUUAGAGAAAAAAUAGAAGAAAAUAAAUAUAGAGUCAAACUCUAAAAGACCUACCUCACGAAAGUUGUCUUGGAAAAUAUCAUGUAAAUAUCAUUUUUUGGUUAAUUAGCAAGAAUAAUUCAUACAACAAAAAGAUUUCUGAGAUAAUUUUGGCGCUGGGAAUUCAAAGUUCAGAAUAUUGAAUAUGGAAAUAUGCGCGUAACCUUGGUUAAAACCUUGGUUAAAACCUUGUUUUAAUUAAUUAAAUUUUGAAUAAACUUCUUGUCCCAUUUCUUGUUUUGCUAGAAGCUUAAACCAACACUUCUAUACGUCGUCCGAAAAUACUCAUACAUUUUUAGCAAACAAGGCCUUCCUAAUAAUUUAUAUCUAUAAGUAUAUCCAAAUUGGGAACUUAUAAAAUAGCACAUCUUUCCUUGAAUGAGAGAACCUACUGAAAACAUAAACACUCGAGCCUCAUCCGCAGUUACUUAGAAAAUAUUGAACUAUAUGUAUGGACUGCAUGCCAAGCUUUUGAAAUUCAAGCAUGUUCAAAGAGCCUCGAAUAACAUGCGCACACGUCAACUCCAACCACUAAGAACUUUAAUAGAAAAAAUAUCCAGCCAAUUGCAAAUAAAACAAGGAAAACAACAUGCAGCUCAGAUAUUCAGGUCGAAAGCAAAGUAAGGUUAAAACAGUGCCUUGAUACACUACAGGACCUAAAGACACCUAAGCAACAAAAAUAUGAAAUAUCUUUUAACAGAUCCACUCAACCUCACAAAGUUAGACUCACAUUAACUUUGAGGUGAGGCUUUUGCAACCCCACCACUAGGCUGAACAGACUGGGACGCUGGAGUUGGGCCAUCAGAAGCAUACGCUGGAGGCUGGGCGUAACCACCAGCAUAGGUACUGUUGUAAGGUGGUGGCUGCUGCUGGCCAUAACUAGGUGGAGCCCCAUAAGGCGGGGCACCAUAACCAGGCUGAGCUGUUGGAGCACCAUAGCCAGAAGCAGGAGGUCGCAGAGUGCCAGAAUCAGGCAGAGCAUAGCCUGAUUGAGCAGCUUGCUGUGGAUACCCAGGCUGUGCUGGGGGAGGCUGGGCAUAACCUCCUUGCGCACUAGGAGACUGCUGUGGCUGACCAUAAGCUUACUCACAUUAACUUUGAGGUGAUGCUUUUGCAACCCCACCACUGGGCUGAACAGACUGGGACGCUGGAGUUGUGCCAUCAGAAGCAUACGCUGGAGGCUGGGUGUAACCACCAGCAUAGGCACUGUUGUAAGGUGGUGGCUGCUGCUGGCCAUAACUAGGUGGAGCUCCAUAAGGUGGGACACCAUAACCAGGCUGAGAUGUUGGAGCACCAUAGCCAGCAGGAGGUCGCUGAGAGCCAGAAUCAGGCUGAGCAUAGCCUGAUUGAGCAGCUGGCUGUGGAUACCCAGGCUGUGCUGGGGGAGGCUGGGCAUAACCUCCUUGCGCGCUAGGG
rnacentral:lncRNA from 1 species